rnacentral:tmRNA from 1 species
GGGGAUGCACUGGUUUCGACGGGGGAUAAUCCGCUGAAGUCGCGUGUGAGCAAUCACAUGCAGGUGCGCACCGAGUGGCGCCGGGAACGCUCGUGAAUUAUCGCAAGAUGAUUCUGACUCAAACUCGCGGCAACAAACAAUUGCGAACUCUUAUAGCUACGCAAUGGCUGCCUAAGCUCCUUUAGAGUAAUCUAAGGUUGAUGCUGCUAUUCCACCUAUCGGUGGGAGGGCGCCCGUCGCACCGGGUCUUUGGACUUGGCAGAUUCGGAUGCGGUGUAAACCGGAUGAGCAAUCAUCCGCCAGGUCUCUUCGCGCAUGAGUGCUCUUCGCUUGCGCAGAAGUAAUAAGGAGGGGCGAUGAUGAUCGGUCGGGGGUCUCCUGCUAUGGCCGGACGUCAUCUAACUAAUCAGGGGACUAUGUGCGUAGUACCCUUCGGUUGAAUUCUUCGGACAGGGGUUCGACUCCCCUCAUCUCCACGG